rnacentral:rRNA from 1 species
AGAGUUAAAUAGUACGUGAAAUUGUUGAAAGGGAAACGAUUGAAGCCAGUCGUACCGACGGAAAAUCAACUUUUCGGGUGCUUUAUCAUGGGUGAUGUUGAGCCUCACGGUCUUCAUCGCUUGUGUUGUGGUGCCUUUGAGGUGCAUUUUUUCGUAUGGUAGGUCAACAUCGAUUUUGAUCGUCAUAAAAUGAUCGGAGGAAUGUGGCUCUGAUCUCGUAUCGGAGUGUUAUAGCCUUUGGUAGAUGUGACGAUUGGGAUCGAGGAUUGCAACGAAUACCCUUUGGGCUAUCCGUCUGACCUCUGAAAGUCGCUCGGGUGUUGAAAGCGUGCUUAUAACAUUCUAGUUGGCGGUCAAUAGGUUAGAACGCGAUUACAUUCGUUAAGGAUGUUGACGUAAUGGCUUUAAACGACC